rnacentral:tRNA from 1 species
GCCCGGUAAGCUCAGUCGGUAGAGCAUCAGACUUUUAAUCUGAGGGUCAAGGAUUCAAGUUCCUUAUCAGGCU